UUCUCUAACCUAGGUAUAAAUAUGUUUGUUCCUCUGAAUCACAAAAGCAACCUUUAGGUACUACCGUUCAAUAUAUGGUGAUUUUGUACAAGUUAUUAAACUAUUGAAUUCAACACAUUCAUGUCAUCUCAAUAUCGUAUCAAGACCACCGAUAAUGGUCAACUUGCUCAACUUCCAUGGGAUGUGCUUGAUAUCAUUUGCAAAGCACUGGAUUUCAACGACCUCUUUUCGUUUUCGGGUGUAUCAUUUGCAAAGCAUUGUAUCAAUUUUCAAAGUUACUAAAACAUUAGAUAUUUAAAGCCACACUUACCGCUAGAUCUGAAAGAAGGAAAUGAACAUGAACAUUAACAUCUUCACACCAAAAAAAUUGAAUCUGA